GCUUGUCUCAAAGAUUAAGCCAUGCAUGUCUAAGUAUAAACAAUUCUAUACUGUGAAACUGCGAAUGGCUCAUUAAAUCAGUUAUAGUUUAUUUGAUAAUAUCUACUACUUGGAUAACCGUGGUAAUUCUAGAGCUAAUACAUGCGUAAAAACCCGACUUCGGAAGGGUUGUAUUUAUUAGAUACAAAACCAACGCAGGGCUUGCCCUGGUUUUUGGUGAUUCAUAAUAACUUUUCGGAUCGCAUGGCGCAAGCCGGCGACGUUUCAUUCAAAUUUCUGCCCUAUCAACUUUCGAUGGUAAGGUAUUGGCUUACCAUGGUUACAACGGGUAACGGAGAAUUAGGGUUCGAUUCCGGAGAGGGAGCCUGAGAAACGGCUACCACUUCCAAGGAAGGCAGCAGG
rnacentral:rRNA from 1 species